rfam:Capsella rubella cultivar Monte Gargano unplaced genomic scaffold scaffold_4, whole genome shotgun sequence.
AAGCGAAGGACCCAGCAGGGAAGCGAGUAUACUCAUGAAAUGAGGCUUCUCUAACCAUUUAUUUAACCUUCGUAGAUUGAGUCGUCCAAGAACUCUUUGAUGAUCUGUCUUUUUAAUUGGAUUGUCUUGUGUUCUUGUUGUAUAUUU